AUGACUCUCGGCAACGGAUAUCUCGGCUCUCGCAUCGAUGAAGAACGUAGCGAAAUGCGAUACUUGGUGUGAACUGCAGAAUCCCGUGAACCAUCGAGUUUUUGAACGCAAGUUGCGCCCGAAGCCGUUAGGCUAAGGGCACGUUUGCCUGGGCGUCGUA
rnacentral:rRNA from 1 species